ensembl:lncRNA
GCAUAGGAGAGGCCAAGAGAACAGGCUUAGAGCCACUGCCUCCAAGCACCACGGGUUUUGCAGGGAUGAACUUUGGGAGUCUGGACUCUUCAUCCUCAUACAGGCCUACGCUCAGUUCUCCGUACCAUGAAGGCAAGACCACAACUGACCUGGGAUUGGAGCUUUGAAUGCCUGGAUAACUGAGCACAGAGCUCUAGGUUUAGAUAAGAAAGUGCAAGCGUAAGGAGUUCAACUUCCAGCACCUACAUAAGGCCUCGGGACAGGGCCACUAAGAUCUCCCAGGGAUUCCGGAACACAAAGGUCAAGAGCUCUUAAGUGAUGCCUGGCUCCGUAUUGAGUUUCUUUAGUCAUCACAGGACCUGUGAUGUUGACAGACCCAGGACCUCUGAGAUGAUUGCAAGGGUAAAGCCCUUGCUGUGUAAGCCUAGAGUUUGAUCCCUGGACACUACAUAAAAGUAGAGGAGGCAACCAACUCCAUAAAGCUGUCCCCUGACCUCCCCAUGUGUGCAACAAAUAAAAGAAAAAGAAAAGAAUUUGACAAGCUCAAUCUUGGGACGCUGCAUCUCGUGUGAUAAUCACAGCUGCUGAGCUCAAGAAUGCAGGGCGUGGAUUAUGCCCAGAAGAGUUUUCCACAGCACCCCAACCCUUCCUCUAGCUCCUACAUUCUUUCUGUCCCCUCAUCCAUGAUGCUCCCUGAGGCUUGGAGGAGAUCAGACGGCAUCCUGCUCAGUCACUUUGGUCACGUCCCAUCACUGUGGGUCAGAGAAGAGCCCUCAGAAGAAUGUUUUCUGAUUACACAAGACAGUAUUUGUCCCCUGGGAUGACAAGGAAUAAGAAUAAUAGCAUCUCCUGGCUGAGCACUGAAAGCUGUACACUGUAACCUAGCCUGUGGAAGAGCCCAGAAGCUGGCCCUUCAUCACAGCCAGUACUGGGAGAAGAGCUCCAGAACCGUAGCCAUCAUGAAUGACACGGUAACCAUCUGGACCAGGAAGUUCAUGACAAACCAUCUGCUUCAGAGGAAACAGUACCAAAGACAGAAAUUUGGGAAAAGCUGGCUAAGAUGUACAAAACCACACCAGAUGUCAUCUUUGUAUUUGGAUUCGGAACCCACUUCGGUGGUGGCAAGACAACUGGCUUCGGCAUGAUCUAUGAUUCUUUAGUAUGCAAAGAAGAAUGAGCUUCAACACAGACUUACAAGACGUGGCCUUUAUGAGAAGAAAAAGACCUCCCACAAACAGUGAAAGGAACACAAGAACAGAAUGAAGGUCAGGGGGACUGCAAAGGCCAAUGUUGGUGCUUGGAAAAAGCCAAAGGAGUAGCUCUGUGGUGACUUAAUAUUCUGCUGUGAUAUGCAGAUUUCUGAGAGGAUAAAAUAAAUAAAAAGCUU